UCCCUCGCUGAGAGCCUGAUAGCCGCUCCCUGUAGCCGGUUUCCCUGUAGCCGCCGCCUCCUCUCGGUAUCGUCGCCUCUUCAACGACCGACCGGCGGCUCUUCGCGUCCUUCUCCCCCGGACGGCAACCUCCGCGGCUCCGGUCACCGACUCACAGUCACCGGUUUUGAGAGUUAGAAGAUGCAAGGAUGUUCUUCUACAGUUUUCUAUUAUGGAA